rnacentral:rRNA from 3 species
AGACCCGAAACCCGGUGAUCUAGCCAUGGGCAGGUUGAAGGUUGGGUAACACUAACUGGAGGACCGAACCGACUAAUGUUGAAAAAUUAGCGGAUGACCUGUGGCUGGGGGUGAAAGGCCAAUCAAACCGGGAGAUAGCUGGUUCUCCCCGAAAGCUAUUUAGGUAGCGCCUCGUGAAUUCAUCUCCGGGGGUAGAGCACUGUUUCGGCUAGGGGGCCAUCCCGGCUUACCAACCCGAUGCAAACUGCGAAUACCGGAGAAUGUUAUCACGGGAGACACACGGCGGGUGCUAACGUCCGUCGUGAAGAGGGAAACAACCCAGACCGCCAGCUAAGGUCCCAAAGUCAUGGUUAAGUGGGAAACGAUGUGGGAAGGCCCAGACAGCCAGGAUGUUGGCUUAGAAGCAGCCAUCAUUUAAAGAAAGCGUAAUAGCUCACUGGUCGAGUCGGCCUGCGCGGAAGAUGUAACGGGGCUAAACCAUGCACCGAAGCUGCGGCAGCGAACGUAUCACCCAAGACAACUUUACGGAGUUGACGAUUGACGGAGCGAAGCGACGUCAAAGCGUUCAUUAAAGUCGAGUUGGCUUAGGGAUACGUUCGUUGGGUAGGGGAGCGUUCUGUAAGCCUGUGAAGGUGUGUCGUGAGGCAUGCUGGAGGUAUCAGAAGUGCGAAUGCUGACAUAAGUAACGAUAAAGCGGGUGAAAAGCCCGCUCGCCGGAAGACCAAGGGUUCCUGUCCAACGUUAAUCGGGGCAGGGUGAGUCGACCCCUAAGGCGAGGCCGAAAGGCGUAGUCGAUGGGAAACGGGUUAAUAUUCCCGUACUUGGUGUUACUGCGAAGGGGGGACGGAGAAGGCUAUGUUGGCCGGGCGACGGUUGUCCCGGUUUAAGCGUGUAGGUGUGUGUUCCAGGUAAAUCCGGUUCACUUUAACACUGAGGCGUGACGACGAGGCACUACGGUGCUGAAGCAACAAAUGCCCUGCUUCCAGGAAAAGCCUCUAAGCAUCAGGUAACACGAAAUCGUACCCCAAACCGACACAGGUGGUCAGGUAGAGAAUACCAAGGCGCUUGAGAGAACUCGGGUGAAGGAACUAGGCAAAAUGGUGCCGUAACUUCGGGAGAAGGCACGCUGACACGU